rnacentral:sRNA from 1 species
UUUUUUACCUAGUGGCAGAUACUCCGUGUAACCUUCCCGCCGGGAUCCUCAUCGCUUCUCUAUGAAGUGUGUGCGUUUUAGAAAUGAGGACACACACGGGUGCUCAGAUCCACUGCACCCUGGUUCUAAAGUCCACUUUGUUUCCCCUGUAAACCCUCGGAGGAAAGGAGAUCUGGUUCUACCCUCUGUGCCCCCAGAUGCUGACAGGGUCCUGAUACCAAGCGAUCACCUAAACGUUGCACGAAAUAAAAGAGCAUUCCAUAGCACUGAUGUGCAGAGGCUCGUGAAACCAUUUCCCACGAGUUGCUUUAUUCCCGGAUAUUCUCUCUUUCUUGGACUGGAUUAUUUCCUUUGGGUCAGUUCCUGGGAGUGGAAGGUCUGGAUCCGAGAUGUGGCGCUUCCUCGAUUCGCCACGUCAUCUUCCGCCUUUGCAGCCCCGCUGAGUGAAGAGCGAAACGUUCGGUGCAGCCUGAGAGCCGGGAUCUCACCUCGACCUUGACGUGGUUGUCCCGCAGGUGCCUCGGAAGCGCCCAGGGCCCUUGCUGAGCCCGAGACUAAGCGUUAGAUCGCGACCCCUGCCGCGGGGUCUGCCCUUCCCCCCACCCCGCACCCCCCUCACACACGCAGCUGCCUCGCUGGCAGCUGGAUUCAGCCUGGGGGCGGGGACCAGACCCGGCGUCCUCGCCCGGCGGUCUCAAAGCUCUGCUUCCUUAUUUGGAGGGACGAGAGAGAGAUUAGGUCCAACUCAUCUGAGCCAUAGCUUCCCACACCCUGUGCAGCCCAGUCAGCUUGGUUGGAAGGAAAGCCCUUGAGGGAGAUGAAGCUCUGAAUGGUGGAUCUAUUAUGCCAUGACAUUGGUGACUGAUAAAGUCUGGGGUAUCAGCAAGGGACACUCACACUAACGGUAAGGUUGCUUUUCCUGGAGAAGCAUGUGACUCCGUGGACACACUUCAUUGUCACGGUGCAGAUGUGAGUCCAGGGUGGGGUGUAACCACUGGGAUUUCAAGGAACUUGUGACCCAAGACAAGGCCAAGCCAAAGCAAAAGGAACAACAAUAACAACAAAAAUCACACGAGAAGAGGCCUCACCAGCCUCAGUGAACCAGGCCUGCUCUCAAGCCUCACCAGCCACAGUGAGCCAGGCCCUGCUCUCAGGUCUCACCAGCCUCAGUGAACCAGGCCCUGCUCUCAGGCCUCACCAGCCUCAGUGAACCAGGCCCUGCUCUCAGGCCUCACCAGCCUCAGUGAACCAGGCCCUAUCCUCAGGCCUCACCAGCCUCAGUGAACCAGACCCUCCUCUCAGGCCUCACCAGCCUCAGUGAACCAGACCCUGCUCUCAGGCCUCAUCAGCCACAGUGAACCAGGCCCUGCUCUCAGGCCUCACCAGCCACAGUGAACCAGGCCCUGCUCUCAGGCCUCACCAGCCACAGUGAACCAGGCCCUGCUUCCCCCUUGGACUUGGGGCUUCCAAGGAUGUCUAAAGGCUACAGUUUCAGCCUGCGAAUCUUGGCAAGUGUCAGGAUGCUUUUGCUAACAAGCAUCAGAAACUUGACUCAGACCAUGGUACCCAUUCCCUUCAAAUCUCUUGUCUGUCCAUCUCUGUAGAUCCAGUUUAUUUUCACCUGGGUCUUCCGAGGUUCCAAGCCUUCUACUCUCCAGAAUGCAUCUGUGUUCCUAGUCCCCGGAUACCAGAUCCUUUCGGACCCACUCAAUGUGACGUUGCAUGAAAAUUUCACUUACGACACGACUUCAGUUUAGCUGUGUCAGCCAUCAGGACAAGUGGUCUAGAGUUUACUGAGUCUGGGUCAGGGUCAGACACAUGACGACUGCCAAAUAGUUGAGGAAGAGUGAGAAGAUAUUUGUGAACAGCUCCAAGUUUAUGGAGGGCUGUUAUGCAGAGAUAGGGGUCAGGUAGGAGAGCAGGGGGCCCAAAGGAAGGAGCCAGGCAUCCUAAGUUGGUCCUCAGACAAUAACCUGUAAUAGAUGAGUCCUUUUACCGCCUA